GUUUCCGUAGUGUAGCGGUUAUCACGUCUGCUUCACACGCAGAAGGUCCUCGGUUCGAUCCCGGGCGGGAACA
rnacentral:tRNA from 1 species